rnacentral:rRNA from 1 species
UACAGAGGGUGCAAGCGUUAAUCGGAAUUACUGGGCGUAAAGCGUGCGUAGACGGUCAUGUAAGUCGGGUGUGAAAGCCCCGGGCUCAACCUGGGAAUUGCAUUCGAGACUGCAUGGCUAGGGUGCGGAAGAGGGAAGCGGAAUUUCCGGUGUAGCGGUGAAAUGCGUAGAUAUCGGAAGGGACACCAGUGGCGAAAGCGGCUUCCUGGUCCAGCACCGACGUUCAGGCACGAAAGCGUGGGGAGCAAACAGG